ACCCUUAAACUGUCCCUUGGCUGAACUAAUAAAUGCCCGAAAAACAAUUACUUUCUCUCUUCUAGCUGCAGAUGGAGGACACCAGCAAGGGAUGGUCCAUCUCAGGAUCUCUGGAACAUCAGAGGAUCUGGCUCUCUACUGCUGAAGCAGGAGCUCAACAGAUCUGGGCUGACAGCAAAGCCUUCUCUGGGUCCUUUGGUGGGUUACAGGAGUCAGUACCAGGAAAAAAGAAG